CCGGGGGGUUCCUUUUGGAUGCUAUUACCGCCCUUAUACCUCUCAUCACCCCUGUGAACAUACCUAUAACGUUGCCUCGGCGGGAACAGACGGCCCCGUAACACGGGCCGCCCCCGCCAGAGGACCCCCUAACUCUGUUUCUAUAAUGUUUCUUCUGAGUAAACAAGCAAAUAAAUUAAAACUUUCAACAACGGAUCUCUUGGCUCUGGCAUCGAUGAAGAACGCAGCGAAAUGCGAUAAGUAAUGUGAAUUGCAGAAUUCAGUGAAUCAUCGAAUCUUUGAACGCACAUUGCGCCCGCCAGUAUUCUGGCGGGCAUGCCUGUUCGAGCGUCAUUACAACCCUCAGGCCCCCGGGCCUGGCGUUGGGGAUCGGCGGAAGCCCCCUGCGGGCACAACGCCGUCCCCCAAAUACAGUGGCGGUCCCGCCGCAGCUUCCAUUGCGUAGUAGCUAACACCUCGCAACUGGAGAGCGGCGCGGCCACGCCGUAAAACACCCAACUUCUGAAUGUUGACCUCGAAUCAAGUAAGAAUACCCGCUGAACUUAAGCAU
rnacentral:rRNA from 1 species